rnacentral:lncRNA from 1 species
GCAAGAGACAGUUCUGUUUGCAGCUGGGUCUGAAAUUCUCCUAAUUUCCAGAGGGAAGCCUGUGACUGUUGGUCCCACAGCUCCCCAUCGAAUCCUCCCCUGGCCCUGUCAGAGCUGCAGGUGCUCAGGUAGCACUUGGUGGGGGAAACAGAAGAUGUGGGCGGCUCUGCUCUCUGAACCAGUGAGCAGGAGGGGUUGGCUCUGGGUAGGCGGCUCUGGGUGAGGUGCUCUGUCUCAACAAUCCUUGGGAAGUGCUGGGUGGACAGCCAGUGCCCAGCUCUGUUCUUGGAAGGGAUCCAGAAAUGAAAGGCACUGUUAUUUCCAUAGCUGAACACUCUGGAACAGCCAACAGUCAGCAAGCCAGGUGACGUCGGGGCAGGUACUGAGCACAAACGGGCCCAUUGUCUCAGCCCGAGGGACUCUUCAACCCAGAAACCCUUAGGUCAUCUAGUCGUAGUCCAUAAAGCUGUGGAGUGUGAAAAUGUUUUUUAUUGGAACAUUUCACCUAAUUCCCUUUGAAAGCAGCAAGUGGGCUAGGCACAAUGGCUCAUGCCUGUAAUCCCAGCACUUUGGGAGGCUGAGGCGGGCAGAUCACAAGGUCAGGAGCUCGAGACCAGCCUGACCAACAUGGUGAAACCUGGUCUGUACUAAAAAUACAAAAAUUAGCCGGGCGUGGUGCGGUAUGCCUGUAAUCCCAGCUACUCGGGAGGCUGAGGCAGGAGAAUUGGUUGAACCCGGGAGGUGAAGUUUGCAGUGAGCUGAGAUCGCACCACUACACUCCAGCCUGGGCA